UCCGGUUGAUCCUGCCGGACCCCACUGCUAUCGGGAUAGGACUAAGACACGCUAGUUGAGCGCUUCCAGCCAACACGGGAGCGCAGCGCACAGCUCAGUAACACGUGGCUAAUCUGCCCUUGGGACCGGAACACCCCCGGGAAACUGGGGCUAAUUCUCGAUAGGUGAAGAACUCUGGAAUGAGUCUUUGCCAAAAAGACGUUUACGUUAUGCACGUAGGCGUCGCCCAAGGAUGAGGCCGCGACCGAUCAGGUUGUUGGUGAGGUAAUGGCUCACCAAGCCUUUUACCGGUGCGGGCCGUGAGAGCGGGAGCCCGGAGAUGGGCACUGAGACAAGGGCCCAGGCCCUACGGGGCGCAGCAGUCGCGAAAACUUUGCAAUACACGAAAGUGUGACAGGGCUAUCCCGAGUGCCAUCCGCUGAGGAAGGCUUUUACCCAGUCUAGAACGCUGGGGGAAUAAGGAGAGGGCAAGUCUGGUGUCAGCCGCCGCGGUAAUACCAGCUCUCCGAGUGGUGUGGAUGUUUAUUGGGCCUAAAGCAUCCGUAGCCGGCUGAGUUAGUCCCUUGUUAAAUCCACCGAAUUAAUCGUUGGAUUGCGGGGGAUACUGCUCGGCUAGGGGACGAGAGAGGCAGACGGUAUUUCCGGGGUAGGGGUGAAAUCCUAUAAUCCCGGGAAGACCACCAGUGGCGAAGGCUGUCUGCUAGAACGCGCCCGACGGUGAGGGAUGAAAGCUGGGGGAGCGAACCGGAUUAGAUACCCGGGUAGUCCCAGCUGUAAACGAUGCAGGCUAGGUGUUUGGACGGCCACGUGCCGUUCUAGUGCCGCAGGGGAGCUGUUAAGCCUGCCGCCUGGGGAGUACGAUCGCAAGAUUGAAACUUAAAGGAAUUGGCGGGGGAGCACCACAAGGGGUGAAGCUUGCGGUUUAAUUGGAGCAACGCCGGAAAUCUCACCGGGAGCGACAGCAGUAUGAAGGCCAGAUUAAAGGUCUUGCCAGACGAGCUGAGAGGAGGUGCAUGGCCGUCGCCAGUUCGUGCCGUGAGGUGUCCUGUUAAGUCAGGCAACGAUCGAGACCCGCGUCCUCUGUUGCAACUAGCUUUGAGCUGGGCACACUGAGGAGACCGCCACUGAUAAAGUGGAGGAGGGAGCGGGCCACGGCAGGUCAGUAUGCCCCGAAUCUCCCGGGCCACACGCGAGCUGCAAUGGCAGGUACAAUGGG
rnacentral:rRNA from 1 species